rnacentral:rRNA from 1 species
UGGGUAACCUGCCUCAAAGAGGGGAAUAGCCUCCCGAAAGGGAGAUUAAUACCGCAUAAUAUGUUUAAGUCGCAUGACUUUAACAUCAAAGGAUUUUCUUUUAGAAAUUCCACUUUGAGAUGGACCCGCGGCGCAUUAGCUAGUUGGUGAGGUAACGGCUCACCAAGGCAACGAGUGCGUAGCCGACGUAGGAAGGAGGGUUGACUCGGCCACAUUGGAACUGAGACACGGUCCAGACUCCGUAGGGACGG